UAGGGAAUCUUCGGCAAUGGACGAAAGUCUGACCGAGCAACGCCGCGUGAGUGAAGAAGGUUUUCGGAUCGUAAAACUCUGUUGUUAGAGAAGAACAAGGACGUUAGUAACUGAACGUCCCCUGACGGUAUCUAACCAGAAAGCCACGGCUAACUACGUGCCAGCAGCCGCGGUAAUACGUAGGUGGCAAGCGUUGUCCGGAUUUAUUGGGCGUAAAGCGAGCGCAGGCGGUUUCUUAAGUCUGAUGUGAAAGCCCCCGGCUCAACCGGGGAGGGUCAUUGGAAACGGGGAGACUUGAGUGCAGAAGAGGAGAGUGGAAUUCCAUGUGUAGCGGUGAAAUGCGUAGAUAUAUGGAGGAACACCAGUGGCGAAGGCGGCUCUCUGGUCUGUAACUGACGCUGAGGCUCAAAAGCGUGGGGAGCAAACAGG
rnacentral:rRNA from 1 species